GACGAACGCUGGCGGCGUGCUUAACACAUGCAAGUCGAACGGAAAGGCCCAGCUUGCUGGGUUCUGAGGUGCGAACCGGGUGGGUAACCGGUGGGUGAUUUGCCCCUACCUUCGGGUUAGGUUUGGGAAACUGGGCCUAUUCCCGGAUGGACAAUUCGUUUGGUGUCGUUGUUGAAAAGUUUUUUCGGUUUGGGUUGACCCCGCGGCCUAUCAGCUUGUUGGUGGGGUAAUGGCCUACCAAGGCGUCGACGGGUAGCCGGCAUGAGAGGGUGGACGGCCACAUUGGGACUGAGAUACGGCCCAGACUCCUACGGGAGGCAGCAGUGGGGAAUAUUGCACAAUGGGCGCAAGCCUGAUGCAGCGACGCCGCGUGGGGGAUGACGGCCUUCGGGUUGUAAACCUCUUUCGACAGGGACGAAGCUUUGGUGACGGUACCUGUACAAGAAGCACCGGCUAACUACGUG
rnacentral:rRNA from 1 species